CGUCUGGAAAGGCGCGCGAUACAGGGUGACAGCCCCGUACACAAAAAUGCACAUACUGUGAGCUCGAUGAGUAGGGCGGGACACGUGGUAUCCUGUCUGAAUAUGGGGGGACCAUCCUCCAAGGCUAAAUACUCCUGACUGACCGAUAGUGAACCAGUACCGUGAGGGAAAGGCGAAAAGAACCCCGGCGAGGGGAGUGAAAAAGAACCUGAAACCGUGUACGUACAAGCAGUGGGAGCACAGAGCAAUCUGUGUGACUGCGUACCUUUUGUAUAAUGGGUCAGCGACUUAUAUUCUGUAGCAAGGUUAACCGAAUAGGGGAGCCGAAGGGAAACCGAGUCUUAACUGGGCGUUAAGUUGCAGGGUAUAGACCCGAAACCCGGUGAUCUAGCCAUGGGCAGGUUGAAGGUUGGGUAACACUAACUGGAGGACCGAACCGACUAAUGUUGAAAAAUUAGCGGAUGACUUGUGGCUGGGGGUGAAAGGCCAAUCAAACCGGGAGAUAGCUGGUUCUCCCCGAAAGCUAUUUAGGUAGCGCCUCGUGAAUUCAUCUCCGGGGGUAGAGCACUGUUUCGGCAAGGGGGUCAUCCCGACUUACCAACCCGAUGCAAACUGCGAAUACCGGAGAAUGUUAUCACGGGAGACACACGGCGGGUGCUAACGUCCGUCGUGAAGAGGGAAACAACCCAGACCGCCAGCUAAGGUCCCAAAGUCAUGGUUAAGUGGGAAACGAUGUGGGAAGGCCCAGACAGCCAGGAUGUUGGCUUAGAAGCAGCCAUCAUUUAAAGAAAGCGUAAUAGCUCACUGGUCGAGUCGGCCUGCGCGGAAGAUGUAACGGGGCUAAACCAUGCACCGAAGCUGCGGCAGCGACGCUGAUGCGUUGUUGGGUAGGGGAGCGUUCUGUAAGCCUGUGAAGGUGUGCUGUGAGGCAUGCUGGAGGUAUCAGAAGUGCGAAUGCUGACAUAAGUAACGAUAAAGCGGGUGAAAAGCCCGCUCGCCGGAAGACCAAGGGUUCCUGUCCAACGUUAAUCGGGGCAGGGUGAGUCGACCCCUAAGGCGAGGCCGAAAGGCGUAGUCGAUGGGAAACAGGUUAAUAUUCCUGUACUUGGUGUUACUGCGAAGGGGGGACGGAGAAGGCUAUGUUGGCCGGGCGACGGUUGUCCCGGUUUAAGCGUGUAGGCUGGUUUUCCAGGCAAAUCCGGAAAAUCAAGGCUGAGGCGUGAUGACGAGGCACUACGGUGCUGAAGCAACAAAUGCCCUGCUUCCAGGAAAAGCCUCUAAGCAUCAGGUAACAUCAAAUCGUACCCCAAACCGACACAGGUGGUCAGGUAGAGAAUACCAAGGCGCUUGAGAGAACUCGGGUGAAGGAACUAGGCAAAAUGGUGCCGUAACUUCGGGAGAAGGCACGC
rnacentral:rRNA from 1 species